GACGAACGCUGGCGGCGUGCUUAACACAUGCAAGUCGAACGAUGAAGCCGGAGCUUGCUCUGGUGAAUUAGUGGCGAACGGGUGAGUAACACGUGAGUAACCUGCCCUUGACUCAGGGAUACCUGCUAGAAAUGGUAGCUAAUACCGGAUACGACCCUCGGAGGCAUCUCCAGGGGGUGGAAAGAAUUUCGGUCAAGGAUGGACUCGCGGCCUAUCAGCUAGUUGGUGAGGUAACGGCUCACCAAGGCGACGACGGGUAGCCGGCCUGAGAGGGUGACCGGCCACACUGGGACUGAGACACGGCCCAGACUCCUACGGGAGGCAGCAGUGGGGAAUAUUGCACAAUGGGCGCAAGCCUGAUGCAGCAACGCCGCGUGAGGGAUGACGGCCUUCGGGUUGUAAACCUCUUUUAGUAGGGAAGAAGCGAAAGUGACGGUACCUGCAGAAAAAGCACCGGCUAACUACGUGCCAGCAGCCGCCGUAA
rnacentral:rRNA from 1 species